rnacentral:rRNA from 1 species
GCGAGAACGCUGGCGGCGUGGAUUAGGCAUGCAAGUCGAACGGUAUCAUCCUUCGGGGGUGAGAGAGUGGCGAACUGGUGAGUAACACGUAGGUUAUCUACCCUCAAGACGGGGACAACCCAGGGAAACUUGGGCUAAUACCGGAUGUGAGCAACUUUUAGUUGUUUGAAAGGUGGCGUAAGCUGUCGCUUGGGGAUGAGCCUGCGUCCUAUUAGUUAGUUGGUGAGGUAACGGCUCACCUAGGCAAUGAUAGGUAGGCGGCCUUAACGGGUGGUCGCCCACACUGGGAUUGAGAUACGGCCCAGACUCCUACGGGAGGCAGCAGUCGAGAAUAGUCUACAAUGGUCGGAAGACUGAUAGUGCGACGCCGCGUGAACGAUGAAUCCCUUCGGGGUGUAAAGUUCUUUUAUAUGUGAGCAGUGCUUCUUAUAUUAACAGUAUGGGGAGAGAGAUAUUAGCAUAUGAAUAAGCAACGGCUAACUCCGUG